rnacentral:rRNA from 1 species
AUACGUAGGGGGCAAGCGUUGUCCGGAUUUAUUGGGCGUAAAGGGCGUGUAGGCGGUAGAUUAAGUCAGAUGUGAAAGUUAGGGGCUCAACCCCGAAAUAGCAUUUGAAACUGGUUUACUUGAGUACUGGAGAGGUAAGCGGAAUUCCUAGUGUAGCGGUGAAAUGCGUAGAUAUUAGGAGGAACACCAGUGGCGAAGGCGGCUUACUGGACAGAUACUGACGCUGAGGCGCGAAAGCGUGGGGAGC